GCCUGACGGAGCGAUACCGCUUGANGGACGAAGCCCUUCGGGGUGUAAACUUCUGAACUCGGGACGAUGAUGACGGUACCGAGGUAAUAGCACCGGCUAACUCCGUGCCAGCAGCCGCGGUAAUACGGAGGGUGCGAGCGUUACCCGGAUUUACUGGGUGUAAAGGGCGUGUAGGCGGUCUUUCAAGUCCGAUGCUAAAGACCGAAGCUCAACUUCGGGGGUGCGUUGGAUACUGUAAGACUAGACGGUCGGAGAGGGUAGCGGAAUUUCCGGAGUAGCGGUGAAAUGCGCAGAUUCCGGAAGGAACGCCGAUCGCGAAAGCAGCUACCUAGACGAUUGGUGACGCUGAGGCGCGAAAGCGUGGGGAGCAAACCGGAUUAGAUACCCGGGUAGUCCACGCCCUAAACGAUGAGUGCUGGGUGUCCGACUUCUGUUGGGUGCCGCAGCUAACGCGAUAAGCUCUCCACCUGGCAAGUACGGUCGUUAGACUGACACUCAAAGGAAUUGACGG
rnacentral:rRNA from 1 species